UGAGCCUGUCUGGGACAGGGACUGGCAGCCUCAUCCUCCUACCUGCUCUGACUGGCUUCAGACCCCGAAGAACUAAGGCUCCCAACCUCAGAAUGUGGCAGCCUUGCUUCCUCGGGGCCAGCUGAAGCCCCCGGAUUGUACCUUGGAGCCCUAGGGCUCCAGCUGCUAAGACGGCAGCGGGAAGACAGCCUGACCCGAGAGCCAGCCUUCUUAUCUGCGCCAGAGACCUCACGGUGUCCUGCCACGACCCGUACCCCCAUGGCCUCCAUCCGGGACUGCUGCACAGCUCUGUUCUGAGUCCCCGCCCUGCGAAGGAGGUGUGGAGGUUGUGGCUUUCUUCCACCCACCCCGCCCUAAGUAAGGGAAGAGCUGGGACCCUGGACCAGGCAGUCUUGGCCCAGAGCUGGGCCUCCUGCCCACACCAGCCCCCAGUCCUCUGAGGGGCCCUACUUUCCUUAGGGAUAAAGCCCCUCUCUCCUUCCUUGCACCCCUUUCUGAGGUCUCAAAGCCUCGGCCUAGAGUGGGGCUGUUUAGAGGGCUGGCUUGCUUCUCUUCCCUCAGGCAAGAGUCACUGGGGACUGACUGGCUCUGGUUCCCAGCUGAUGGUGGUGGGG
ensembl:lncRNA